rnacentral:lncRNA from 1 species
AUGUCCCAGACUGUGUUUUUGUUUUUUGGAAGGGGGAAGCUGAUUAUGAACCGGCAGUUUAAAAAUUUGUUAAAAAAAAAAAAAAAAAAAAAAAAAAAAUUAACCACCCCUCUUUUAUUGUCUAUUUUUGCUCUAAAUCAUUUUCCACGAACUGCGAGCUGUACGUGGAUUCAUGUCCUAAACCAGAUGAUGAAGAAUAGACUGUUACUACCAAGGUUACAGUCUCCCAUUACCCCAAAAUGAAAUCUGAAAGGUCGUCCAUUUCUGCAUAAAACCCACACCGGCC